AUUUUUUUUGAGGGAUUUGAUGACUGAAACUAUUGGUUUUAUUUUUUGCCGAGCCUCAUUUUUUAAGGUCAUUUACAUGUUAUUUGACGGGCAAGAUUUUUCAAUCAAACUAAUAUUAUUUGCAGUUUGUUAUGGAGUGUUAGGAAACAACGGAGCAACAAGGUGUGGAGUAAUACGGCGGAGAGCACAAGGUUGGUGUGUGAUUGAGAAAGGAAUUUUCUUGAAGGUUGGAGAAAUGCUCAACAUAGCAGGCAGACCCGUCACACGAUUAACAAUGCUGCAGGCACUGUCAGAUGGACAAAACUGAGGUUGGUAGGUACAACAAGUGCAACAUUGACACCUCCUUUUCUCGGACAUGGAUAAAAUACGCCAAUGUUCAUGCAUAAGAGAUGAUCAAGGACGAUUUCUUCUUGCUAAAACGGAGUGGAUUAUGCUGAUUCUUGAUACUGGGUGAAGCUAUGGGUCUCUUAUUGGCAUUCAAGUGGGUCAGGAAUUUACAUUUGUUCGAUGUUGACUUUGAGGAUACAUGAAUGAAUAGUAUUAAAAAUCCGACUACAAUGAAAUAUGGUCACAGGCUAGUUUACAAAUUUUUAUUAAUAUCAUUCAUGUAUCCAACAAUGAAAUGAUACAAGUCUUUUUCCGUAAAAAAUUAAAUAAAACCGUUAUAGCCAUUUGUUC
rnacentral:lncRNA from 1 species